rnacentral:rRNA from 1 species
UACGGGGGGGACAAGCGUUGUUCGGAAUUACUGGGCGUAAAGGGCUCGUAGGCGGCCAACUAAGUCAGACGUGAAAUCCCUCGGCUUAACCGGGGAACUGCGUCUGAUACUGGAUGGCUUGAGGUUGGGAGAGGGAUGCGGAAUUCCAGGUGUAGCGGUGAAAUGCGUAGAUAUCUGGAGGAACACCGGUGGCGAAGGCGGCAUCCUGGACCAAUUCUGACGCUGAGUGAGCGAAAGCCAGGGGAGCAAACGGG